rnacentral:lncRNA from 1 species
UAGCAGGUUUAGAAACGACAGAGCGUUUUUUCUUUGCACACUGCAGAGUGUGAGUAAGAGCUUCUGGCGCUCAGUGCGAGGAGGUGAGCCGUCUCUGUUGCCUCGCUGUCUCCAAGGGAGCGCGCACCACUGCUUCAGGCUCUGUUCUCCUGGCUUUCCACUGUGGCCGAGCAUCUGAGUGGGUGCUGCUGCUUGAAUGUUUGUACUGUGAAGAUUCAGGAGACCAGCUCCUCUCACACGAUUAAGCAGUUAGGAGUCUGAAAUAGCUGAGGGAGACCCAUCGUCAGAAGUAGGAUUGCUUUAUUUUCAUGGCUAAAGAUCGUGGCCUUGGGCUCUGUUGGGUUUUAGAAGUUGCUAAAGAGUUACUAUAGAAUAUUGGGUGCAUUUAUUUAUGAAUUACCUAAUUCUGAGGAUGCGCUUCGCCUUUUCUUGGGUAAAGUAACUGGUUUUAAAAACUAAUCUGGUGGCUUCAGUAAUUGUCUUGUAUUACUAUUUCACAGUUUUCCAGUUAUAAUUGGUCUGUGUUCAGUAUGUUAGUUAUUAGGGAUGGGGCACAUGUAUCCAACUGUAGUGAUAUCUUCUAGCUAAGGGUUUAACUGUAAACCUCACUGCCUCUGUCCCACCAGAGUAUGAGGUAGGUGCAGUCCAUGUGGUGGCUGGUGGCCUUGGUAGGCUCGGGAGAACCCCCUUAUUGGCAGCCAGGUGGGGGCCUGGCGUGUUUGCUGCUCCUGGGCUGACUGCUCAGUGCCGGUUGCCCGUGCAGUUACUCAGGGGCACAGCAUAGUGAGGAGUGACGUUUUCUUAACCUCUGAGGCUGUUAGAUGUUUGUUCUGGGGGGUUAUCUCCGUAGCUUUGGUCAGGAGAAAGGGGAUGGGGUGGUGGUCCAUAGCUGCUUACUUGUCUUAUAAGCUGUACAUAAAAGUUUCUUGAAUUUUUUUUAAAAAAAGAUUUUUUUUUAAGGUCAAAACAAGAAAUAAAAUUUUAGUGGCAACAGCUUUGUACUAGAGAGGUAGAUGCAUUAAAACAGCAUAGAACCAGAAAUUCUAAAUUAAUAUAGUUGCCACCAGGAGAUGUUAGAGAGAAGUUGUGUAUGUAUAUUGGAUUUUUCAAUAAUAGCGUAUGCUUUUAGGAGUGAAGUCUGGCUGAAGAAUUGUGGCAGAAAGGAGUCUCAAAGGGUCGAGCUUGUCUGUGGUUCCCCCUGUAAGCUCUGAAUAUACUUCCACACCCCGUGUGAUUCCGAGGGCUGGUGAAGUGGGAGCUCUGCUGUGGGGCAGCUGGGGCCGGGCUUGGAGGGGGUGGUUCCUGACGCGCCGCCUCCCCGCCCAGGGAGCUCUGCCGGCGACGGGGGCGCCGCGCCGUGUUCCAUAGGUGGGAUCAGGACUUGGCGCGGGGCCGUGCCUGCCUCGUGGGAGUCCUGUCCUCGGUGUGCAGUCUCUCUCACUCUGAGAAGCUCUCUAGACUGCCUGGGCGUUACCAGGUCCACAGGGAACGCCGUCAGGUUACCUCUGUGAGACGUUCAACCCAGAGCGUGCAGUCGGCUGAAGGAAACUCGGGUUCCUCGUCAGGGCUGGCUCACACUCAGCCUGGCCAGAAGGGUCGGUGUGGGCGGCGUGACGGGGGAGCUUCUUGCUUUCGGUGCCGUGGCCCUCUGGCCCCACUUGGGGUAGACGCGUAGCUCUUCACCUUUUUACCUCAAGGCUCUGUCUAUCUGUGGCAAACCUUUAGACUCAGAGUCUGAUGCAGUUUUUUUGUUUAUUUUUGUUUGUUUGUUUUGGCGUUUUCAUCAUUCACUGUUUCGUCAUCUCAGCUUUCAGAACAAGUGUUGCUCAGACUCUGGGGCCUCCGACGGCUGUUCUGAGGCGAUUUGAUAACGGCACUUUCCACAAGGUGUGUCUUUCUGACUCUAAAGCAAACUGUAUGUUUCCACUGAUGUCGUUAAGUUGAAGAUCUCGAUUUUAAAUGAUGGCCGAUCUUCUGCCGUCACCUACGAGAGAGGGGACCGACAGUUGGUUUGCAGCAGAGACACUGAGCAGCAGUCACGAAGUGCGUGCACGGAACUGAGCUCAGAAGGUGCCCCCAGAACCCGGCCCUGGGCAGGAUUUGGGCCUUGUCCACUGCCUGUCCCCAUGUGUCCAGGGUAACAUGCCCCGUGAAAACCUUAGGCUCUUACCCAUUUCCUCGGAGGGAUUACCUUCUAGAGUCCUGCUCCCAUAGUUCAGACUACUUUGUAACUCGAUUAAAUUGUCUAGCAUCCUUGCAGAGUUACUCGAGAAGGAGCUGAUGCCAGUGAAGAAGAAUUUCUGUGAAAGCGCGAACGUGUGUGUGGUGACCUUGCUGUGAGCAGGGCGUCCCUCGGUCCAGAACCACUGGUGCUCGCUGUGCCGCAGCGCCGGGCAGUCACGACCACUGGGCAAAAGCUCGGCGGCCCAGCCUCCCGCUCCCAUCUCAGCAUCCACCGGGGCACCGUUGCCAGCUGUCCGUGAUGGGGGUUUGAGUGUGGCCCCAGGCCUCGGCCUGCACGCUGAUCCCUCGGCCACAGCUGGAGUGUUGCUGGGGCUCCUCUCCUGGUUCAUCUUCUGGGGGGAACGGCCCUCGGCCUCCCCGGAGCAACCCUUCCAGCAUCCACCAGCAGUGAGCACCGUGAGAAGGGAGGAGCCGGGAGCCUGACGGCAGACCUCUGUUCCCCGUGCUAACGGGGAAGCGCUGUCCGGAGAUACCCAAGACCUCCGUGGGGUCGUGACCCAGAGACUUGGCAAGUCUCGCCUUAUCUGUGGAGCUCGACAGGGAGAAAUGUGACCAUUGUCUGAUGUCUGUAGUUCAUUUCUUCCUUCUUUCCUUGCGUUGUGUUACUCUGAAGCGUUUUGUUUUUAUUUACCAAAGUACUGUACUUGGCUAUUUGCAGUGUUUCCAAAACCAAAUAUUUUCCUUUUUUGUGUUUUUAAUCUUCAACACUUGGUGCAAUAGAAGCUGCAAAGAUGUGCCACUUUAUCUACGAAAUGGAGUUUUGUACACCAAUAAAUUCUAGUUUAAAGACAG